GAGUUUGAUCCUGGCUCAGGAUGAACGCUAGCUACAGGCUUAACACAUGCAAGUCGAGGGGAAACGACAGUAAAGCUUGCUUUAUUGGGCGUCGACCGGCGCACGGGUGCGUAACGCGUAUCCAACCUGCCCCCAACUCCGGAAUAGUCCCCCGAAAGGGGGGUUAACGCCGGAUGCUGCAAUUUUUCCGCAUGGUGAAAUUGCGAAAUGAAAAAGGUUGGGGCUGGGGAUGCGUCCCAUUAGGUAGUAGGCGGGGUAACGGCCCACCUAGCCGACGAUGGGUAGGGGUCCUGAGAGGAAGGUCCCCCACAUUGGAACUGAGACACGGUCCAAACUCCUACGGGAGGCAGCAGUGAGGAAUAUUGGUCAAUGGGCGAGAGGCUGAACCAGCCAAGUAGCGUGUGGGACGAAUGCCCUAUGGGUUGUAAACCACUUUUGCAGGAGGGUAAAAUGCUUCACGUGUGGAGUAUUGCAAGUAUCCUGCGAAUAAGGACCGGCUAAUUCCGUGCCAGCAGCCGCGGUAAUACGGA
rnacentral:rRNA from 1 species